rnacentral:rRNA from 1 species
UGGGCCCUACGGGACGCAGCAGUGAGGAAUAUUGGUCAAUGGGCGAGAGCCUGAACCAGCCACGUCGCGUGAGGGAAGACGGCCCUACGGGUUGUAAACCUCUUUUGUCAGGGAGCAAGAACGGAUACGUGUAUCCGAGCGAGAGUACCUGAAGAAAAAGCAUCGGCUAACUCCGUGCCAGCAGCCGCGGUAAUACGGAGGAUGCGAGCGUUAUCCGGAUUUAUUGGGUUUAAAGGGGGCGUAGGCGGGCUGCCAAGUCAGCGGUAAAAUUGCGGGGCUCAACCCC